AUUUACAAUCAGAUAUACAUGAUUGGGACUUACAUUAUUACAUUGAAUUCUAUGAAGUACAUGCCCAGACAAAUAACCCCUCACAGGAGAGGGAUGUCCAUACUCCACUUGCAUUUCACAAGGGAGAAUGAUUUUUAAAUAUAAAGAACAUUUAGCCCCCACAAUACUUUUGUGGGGGCUAGAACCGCUGCCCUCACAAGCAUUGUGAGGGCAGCAGCCCACCACUUCGGCCUUGG
rnacentral:lncRNA from 1 species